UGGAGUAACGCGUAUCCAACCUUCCCCUUAGUAGGGCAUAGCCCGGCGAAAGUCGGAUUAACACCCUAUGUUUUCCGUUGCGGGCAUCUAAUAUGGAACAAAGAUUUAUCGCUAAGGGAUGGGGAUGCGUCUGAUUAGGUAGUAGGCGGGGUAACGGCCCACCUAGCCUUCGAUCAGUAGGGUUCUGAGAGGAAGGUCCCCCACAUUGGAACUGAGACACGGUCCAAACUCCUACGGGAGGCAGCAGUGAGGAAUAUUGGUCAAUGGCCGAGAGGCUGAACCAGCCAAGUAGCGUGCCAGGACGACGGCCCUAUGGGUUGUAAACUGCUUUUAUGCGGGGAUAAAGUCGCCCACGUGUGGGUGUUUGCAGGUACCGCAUGAAUAAGGACCGGCUAAUUCCGUGCCAGCAGCCGC
rnacentral:rRNA from 1 species